GAUGAACGCUAGCUACAGGCUUAACACAUGCAAGUCGUGGGGCAUCAUGAUGUAGUAAUACAUUGAUGGCGACCGGCGCACGGGUGAGUAACGCGUAUCCAACCUACCCUCCACUCAAGUAUAGGCUUCCGAAAGGGAGAUUAAUCCUUGAUAUCGUCAUUCUCUCUCCUGUUAGAAUGAUAAAAGGACAUCGUUUCGGUAGAGGAUGGGGAUGCGUUCCAUUAGGUAGUAGGUGGUUUAACAGGCCACCUAGCCGAUGAUGGAUAGGGGUUCUGAGAGGAAUAUCCCCCACACUGGUACUGAGAUACGGACCAGACUCCUACGGGAGGCAGCAGUGAGGAAUAUUGGUCAAUGGGCGCAAGCCUGAACCAGCCAUGUAGCGUGAAGGAUGACAGUUUUUUUGAUUGUAAACUUCUUUUCUGUGCGAUUAAAGUGUGGCAUUUAUG
rnacentral:rRNA from 1 species